AUAGUUCUGCCCCACAGAAGAGAGACAGUUGAAGUGAAAUAGAUUUUUCCAUCUUGACAAAUCAAAGCUGGAAGAAUGUGAGUUGAAGUGAUCUAAGGCCACUGGCAUUGGCAAGUUGAUGACAUCUCUGGGAGCAGAUUCUGGGAGUUGUAUGCCUGCAGCCCUCUUCCUCUUCUGAAGAGAAAGGCACGUAAACAUGGCAGACCCAGGAGGUUUUCUCAAAGACCCAAGAUAGAAAACUCUGAAGGCAGAUGUCCCAGAAGAUGACGUUUUCACAGAACAAAGUUACAUUUGAGAGCAGGACUGAGUUCUUCUGGAACUUGCUUCAAGUGUUGAAGAUCAUGCCACGAGUUAGAAUUUCUAGCAAACCUGGCUACAGAGAAAGAAAUGGUUAGCGGUGUCUGCACUUGAAGAUUCCUAAAGUUGCUGCUUUUCUCAUGCAUGGGUUCAAAUAAACUCCAACACUACAGCCAGUGAAAGUGCAUGUGAUGUUGCUUGAGUGUCAGAAUAUUUGCUGCAACCUGUGUAGUCAAAUGUCAGCUUAAAAAAAUUAGAGCUGUUCUGCCCCAAGUGUCCUUUCUACUUUUGCUGUGCU